rnacentral:rRNA from 1 species
UGGGGAAUUUUGGACAAUGGGCGAAAGCCUGAUCCAGCAAUGCCGCGUGUGUGAAGAAGGCCUUCGGGUUGUAAAGCACUUUUGUCCGGAAAGAAAUCCUUGGCUCUAAUACAGUCGGGGGAUGACGGUACCGGAAGAAUAAGCACCGGCUAACUACGUGCCAGCAGCCGCGGUAAUACGUAGGGUGCAAGCGUUAAUCGGAAUUACUGGGCGUAAAGCGUGCGCAGGCGGUUUGCUAAGACCGAUGUGAAAAUCCCCGGGGCUCAACCUGGGAACUGCAUUGGUGACUGGGCAGGCUAGAGUAUGGCAGAGGGGGGUAGAAUUCCACGUGUAGCAGUGAAAAUGCGUAGAGAUGUGGAGGAAUACCGAUGGCGAAGGCAGCCCCCUGGGCCAAAUACUGACGCUCAUGCACGAAAAGCGUGGGGGAGCAAAACAGGAUUAGAUACCCUGGUAGUCCACGCCCUAAAACGAUGUCAACUAGUUGUUGGGGAUUCAUUUCCUUAGUAACGUAGCUAACGCGUGAAGUUGACCGCCU